UGUGCAGAUACAGAAAUAGUUCGCCC
rnacentral:piRNA from 1 species